UACGUAGGGGGCGAGCGUUGUCCGAAGUUACUGGGCGUAAAGCGCGCGUAGGCGGUUUCUUAAGUCUGGUGUGAAAGGUUCAGGGCUCAACCCGAACAGUGCACUGGAUACUGGGAGACUUGAGUAUGGGAGAGGAGAGCGGAAUUCCUGGUGUAGCGGUGAAAUGCGUAGAUAUCAGGAGGAACACCGAUGGCGAAGGCAAUCCCCUGGGCCUGUACUGACGCUCAUGCACGAAAGCGUGGGGAGCAAACAGG
rnacentral:rRNA from 1 species